rnacentral:lncRNA from 1 species
CUCAGGACCCUGAAGGAUCUGGAAGUGGGGCCACCCUUCACCAUCAGUGGCCAUAUCAGCAGUCCAGAUGGCGGCUACAUGAAGUUCUCCAACGGGCUAGUCUGACGGGGGCAGCACCUGGCUUCUAGAGCCUGGGAGAGGUGAGUGAGAAGCUGCAGAACUCCUGAGUGAAUCUCAAGUCCAAAUAAAGCCCUAAGGGGGUCCAGGCACCCAUGCCCAGCGCCAAGGACCACUCAAAAUUCAGAGAUGAUUUAGUGCCUUCUUUCUUGCUGGAAGAAGCCUCACUAGGUGACAUGGUUUAGAGGAACCUUCUCACACCUCUUCUCUUUCCCCCUUCCUUUUCUUUUCUAGGAACAGACUCCUGGCUUAGCUCCUGACCAUCCUGGGCUCUCCUGGGCUGCUCUCCCUCUUCUGGGUCCUCAAGACCUGGCCUGGCCUCUGAAGGUGGAGGAUGAGGAGUCUUCUUUGGAUACUUCACUAGCCUGUGACCUGAGAGUCCUGGGGAGAGUCAGGCCUCUGGGGAGGGACUGGCCAGGUGGCAGCAGCCUUCUCACAGGAACCAGCGAGGAGGCGGCCACCCCAGGGAGAAGGACUGGACUCCAGGAGGCCCUGAGCCUGCAGGAGUUGCUGAGGCGUCCUGAGGAGCCAAGCCACACCCUACAGUGUGGGAGGAGCCCCCAGACUCCAGAGGGAGCACCUCAGGUGGCGGGUCCCAUCACUUUCUCUUAUAGGGUUGACACCAGGGGCUGGAAAGACAGUCAUAUCUUCACUGGGCAAAGUUCUAUGGAAAUAGAGGUGGGACUCCAGACAGGGUUUUUUACCUUCCCAUCAGAGGACAACUUCUCUGAAGACGGAGUUCAGCCUUUACUCUGCCCUGCCUCCCUCUAUGCUUCGUUCUGGCACUUUCCAUUCUUUCCCUGGAAUUGCUGCCCUCUACCCGGCUCUACUCCCUGCCCUGGGCCCGCUCUCCCUCCAUGACAGGCCUCAGUGCCUCCCGAAUGUGGUUAGCUCUCAAUUUUGAUUGGUAGUUCUGAGAAUAGACUAGAAAUGUCCCAGUAGCCUGGGCUCCUGCGCCAGGGUGGGCAUGGGGCACAGGGGACAGUAUCUCCCAGUGCCCUGGGUUUCCUGAACCAAGUCGGCCCUGGGAAGCAGAAAGUGGUAGAGUGGUGGAGUGGAGAAAGCAGAAAGAGGAACCCAGGCGAGGCUGAGGGAAGCAGAUAAGAACAAGAGAAAGGAAGAAACAGCUGUCACCCGAGGACAGCAGGACAAUGUGCCUUGCCAGUCAUAACUCCUUCCUGUAGAGGGACCUACUGGGGCCAGAGGCGGAGCUGGCCCUGGGGUGUUGACCUAGUCGGUCCUUGAUGAUGCUGUUGUUCUAUCCAGAGGGGGUGAGUCCCCAGGCAGCUGUGGAUGGAGCAGGACGUGAGAGGGGAUCCUCACAUCAGCAGCGGUGGCUGUUGAAACCUGCUGACACAACUACAGCCCUGGCUUCUCUGCCAUUGUCCAGCACCAAGGCCACUAGGAGCCCCAGGCAGCUGACUGGGAGGGGGAGAGGGGUCAUGUGAUUUAUCUUCCUAUCUUUCUUUUCCUGAGGCCUUGUUUCUUUCUGGUUUUGGGAUCUAGCAGAGCAGAAGGAAGGAGAGUGGCCUUGCCAACCCCUCCCCCCUCAUUUCCUGUCAGGGGAUUCCUGCGUCGUCCUCCACGUAACCAAGCCUUGACUUCAUAAACACAGUCUUUUUGGAAGACUUUACUGGGUCUUCUACCUCUGACUAGGUGGGAGUGGAGAAGAGCCCUUAAUGGCUUUGGAUUCCCUCUCUUCCUUGAAGGUCUCUUGGGAGAAAUGGAGAAAAGGAGACGGAUUGACUUUGGCUUCCUUCUUCCUUGGAUCUCAGCUCUGAGAACUAGACCCACAGGUCCCCCUACCCACUUUAGUACCAGACAUUGAACCCAAGGAUGCUUAACCACUUAGCCAUGUCCCCAGUUCUUUCUGUAUUUUAUUUAGAGACAGGGUCUCACUUACUUGCUGAGGCUGGCUUUGAACUUGCAAUCCUCCUGCCUCAGCUUCCCAAGCUGCUGGGAUCACAGGCAUGCGCCACGGCACCUGGUUUAGACCCACAGUUUAACCUAUAGGGUGUCCAUUCCUGGUGACGCUUUCAAUCAUGCCCUUCUCAGUGUAAAUCCGGGGUCUGCAGUCCCUGCAGGGCUGCUCAAGGGUCCCUGAAAGUGCUCUGGACCCACCAGCUUCAAGGACACUUGAAAGGAGGUUGGGGCUCAACCCAGUGGUCCUGGUCCCAGGCCUGGUGGCUUCAGGAGAGGAUGCAGGAACAGCUGCUGAGGACUGGGAGAAUGGAGGGUAUUUCCCAUCCUUGGGAGCGGAACUGAGAGUGGGCUGCUUCCUCUUUUGGGGCCUUCUGACGUGCUCCUUGUCCCCUCUCCUCCCCCAUCAUUUUCCUUACUUCCGCAGGCCCAGCAGAGCUUUCUUGGCCCCCCCUGGCCCCACCCUAGGACUCCACAUGUUUCUGUUGAGGACUCUGAAGGGCCAGAUUCCCACUUGCUCAUAAAUAAGAGAGGAGAACUUCCUAGAAAUCAAGGCUACAGGUCUGUGGGCUGGGCCCUGGCUGGGCGCCCAGCCCUUGCUGUGCCAGGGCCUCUGCUGCACCGUCUCCCUCCCUCUUCACUCCUUCAGGCCAUAGCAGAUGAGUCGAGACGCAUCCUUGGGAGCCUGCAGUACUGUGGGCUGCCCAUUCCCAGGUCCUCUCCUGGUCAGGGCUGUUCCCCAGCCCGGAGUGCCCUCUUAUCCCCCACCCGCCCCUGCACAGUGUGGCUCAAGUCCCAUUUUUCCUGCAACUCUUCUUAGGACUCGAGACUCAGAUGCCACCCCUUUUGAUCCUGGUUGUAGAGGGCCGUGUUUGCUCCAUUUGUCUUGUUCCCCAACCAAGCUGAGCCCUUUGCGGGCAAGGUUAGGUCCUAUAGGUCUCUAGGGGCCCCUAAAACUGAAGCACAUAGAGGUGCUCGAUAAGUGCUUGUGGAGUAAAGAGGAAACAGAGAAUAUAACCUUGAAAAUCGGCCUUGUCCUAGAAGAGGGAACUUUUUUUCCCACUUGUUAUUGCAUUUUGGACAUUGUGGCAACCCUGUGACACAGGAAUUAUGAUUGGUCCCACUUUACAUAUGGGAGCUGAAAGGUUCCAAGAGGUAGCAUGCUUUGCCUAAAGCUCCACAGCUGCUCACUACUGUCUGCACUGGAGCCUGAGCAGAGUCUGUGGCCUCCUGGAUGCAGCCUGGCCUCCGGGCUUAGUGAGGUAAGGAUGGAGCUCUGGAGAAUAGAGUCUGAUUCUGACAUUGCCCUGCCAUGCUAUGUGUCCCUGGGUUAGUCACUCCACCUCUCUGGUCAUCUAUUUCAGCAUCAGGAAAUCAAAAGACUGGACUAUUUCUUCAAGGAUCCUCCUGGCUCUUACCUUGUCUUGCUUUUUAAAAAUUCUCUGUAUUCAUGUUUAGCAUAAGUGCUGUCACACAGUGGGUGCUCAAUAAACAAAAGAUGCAAGCACAAAGUAUA